GAUGAACGCUAGCGGAAGGCAUAAUACAUGCAAGUCGAACGGAUGUAGCAAUACAUUAGUGGCGCACGGGUGCGUAACGCGUAUGCAACCUACCUUCAUCAGGGGGAUAACUACCCGAAAGGGUGGCUAACACCGCAUAAUACUACUGAAUGGCAUCAUUUGGUAUUUAAAUCUGAGGAGGAUGAAGAUGGGCAUGCGUCUGAUUAGCUAGUUGGUGUGGUAACGGCGCACCAAGGCGACGAUCAGUAGGGGAACUGAGAGGUUGGUCCCCCACACUGGCACUGAGAUACGGGCCAGACUCCUACGGGAGGCAGCAGUAGGGAAUAUUGGUCAAUGGUGGGAACACUGAACCAGCCAUUCCGCGUGCAGGAAGAAGGGUCUCUGACUUGUAAACUGCUUUAGCAAGGGAAGGAAAAGCUCAUGCGUGAGAAAUUGACGGUACCUUGAGAAUAAGCACCGGCUAACUACGUGCCAGCAGCCGCGGUAAGAC
rnacentral:rRNA from 1 species